rnacentral:rRNA from 1 species
ACACAUGCAGUCGAGCGGCAGCACAGAGAAACUUGUUUCUCGGGUGGCGAGCGGCGGACGGGUGAGUAAUGCCUGGGAAAUUGCCCUGAUGUGGGGGAUAACCAUUGGAAACGAUGGCUAAUACCGCAUGAUGCCUACGGGCCAAAGAGGGGGACCUUCGGGCUUCUCGCGUCAGGAUAUGCCCAGGUGGGAUUAGCUAGUUGGUGAGGUAAGGGCUCACCAAGGCGACGAUCCCUAGCUGGUCUGAGAGGAUGACCAGCCACACUGGAACUGAGACACGGUCCAGACUCCUACGGGAGGCAGCAGUGGGGAAUAUUGCACAAUGGGCGCAAGCCUGAUGCAGCCAUGCCGCGUGUGUGAAGAAGGCCUUCGGGUUGUAAAGCACUUUCAGUAGGGAGGAAGGUGGUGUUGUGAAUAGCAGCAUCAUUUGACGUUACCUACAGAAGAAGCACCGGCUAACUCCGUGCCAGCAGCCGCGGUAAUACGGAGGGUGCGAGCGUUAAUCGGAAUUACUGGGCGUAAAGCGCAUGCAGGUGGUUUGUUAAGUCAGAUGUGAAAGCCCCGGGCUCAACCUGGGAAUUGCAUUUGAAACUGGCAAACUAGAGUACUGUAGAGGGGGGUAGAAUUUCAGGUGUAGCGGUGAAAUGCGUAGAGAUCUGAAGGAAUACCGGUGGCGAAGGCGGCCCCCUGGACAGAUACUGACACUCAGAUGCGAAAGCGUGGGGAGCAAACAGGAUUAGAUACCCUGGUAGUCCACGCCGUAAACGAUGUCUACUUGGAGGUUGUGGCCUUGAGCCGUGGCUUUCGGAGCUAACGCGUUAAGUAGACCGCCUGGGGAGUACGGUCGCAAGAUUAAAACUCAAAGGAAUUGACGG